GCUCCUCCCAGAAGUCAGAAAGUGAUUUGAAUUUAUUGCUGCUUUAACAGAUGCAGAAAGAGAAGGAGGACAUAUACAUCUCUGUCUAUUUUAUUGAGUUGGUGAUUUCAAUUGCAUAUAAUGGCACUGUUGAAAAGUGCCACUGUGAUCAUAGUUUUAUAUGUCUGUGGUUGUAAUUCUCAAGACAAAGUUGAUCAGCAUAAAAGGAUUCAGUUUGCUUUUGAAGGUGACACUGUAACGAUCAACUGUAAAUAUCAGACUGCUUAUACAGCCCCGACUCUCUUCUGGUACCAGCAGAAAGGCAAUGGAAAUCCCAAGCAUAUGCUAAAUAAAGUCUCUAAUUCUGGAAACACUGAGGAAGAAUUCAAGGCGAGAUUUCAUGCGUCUCUCAACAAAACUGCAGUUCCACUCACAAUCCAGGAUGUGCGUGUGUCUGACUCUGCUGUGUACUACUGUGCUCUGAAUCCCACAGUGACUGAAACACACUCAACACUCACACAAAAACUCUGACAAUGCAACAGCAUACACUACAUCAUCAUGCAAUUUAAUUUUUUUCGCUUAUUCUAUGAUUUCAUUAAUUGGACCCUUUUCAUCCAUAAAUUUAUUCUAUUUUAGU